rnacentral:rRNA from 2 species
ACAGAGGAGACAGGUGGUGCAUGGUUGUCGUCAGCUCGUGUCGUGAGAUGUUGGGUUAAGUCCCGCAACGAGCGCAACCCUUGUGUUUAGUUGCCAACAGGUAAGGCUGUGCACUCUAAACAGACUGCCGUGGAUAACACGGAGGAAGGUGGGGAUGACGUCAAAUCAUCAUGCCCCUUAUGAUCUGGGCUACACACGUGCUACAAUGGUCGGUACAACGAGAAGCAAGUCAGCGAUGGCAAGCAAAUCUCUAAAAGCCGAUCCCAGUUCGGAUUGCAGGCUGCAACUCGCCUGCAUGAAGUCGGAGUUGCUAGUAAUCGCGGAUCAGAAUGCCGCGGUGAAUGCGUUCCCGGGUCUU